AUUGAACGCUGGCGGCAUGCUUUACACAUGCCAGUCGAACGGCAGCGCGGGCUUCGGCCUGGCGGCGAGUGGCGAACGGGUGAGUAAUACAUCGGAACGUGCCCAGUAGUGGGGGAUAGCUCGGCGAAAGCCGGAUUAAUACCGCAUACGACCUGAGGGUGAAAGCGGGGGAUCUUCGGACCUCGCGCUAUUGGAGCGGCCGAUGGCAGAUUAGCUAGUUGGUGGGGUAAAGGCCUACCAAGGCGACAAUCUGUAGCUGGUCUGAGAGGACGACCAGCCACACUGGGACUGAGACACGGCCCAGACUCCUACGGGAGGCAGCAGUGGGGAAUUUUGGACAAUGGGCGAAAGCCUGAUCCAGCAAUGCCGCGUGUGUGAUGAAGGCCUUCGGGUUGUAAAGCACUUUUGGCGGGAACGAAAAGGACUGUGCCAAUACCACGGCUCGAUGACGGUACCCGCAGAAUAAGCACCGGCUAACUACGUG
rnacentral:rRNA from 1 species